UAAAUGUAUGUAAACAUACAUGCAUGUGAUACUGAUGCAUUUUUAAAGCUGUGGCAUAUGGUUAUGGUACUUUGUGGAUGUAUUUGUCAAAAAUGACAAAGAAAACACUGCAUUAUUGUAUUAAAAAUACUAUAUUAUGAAGUCCUGUUAGUUUUGUGACCUAAAGACCCCCCCCCCCAGGAUCACCAUCAGACAAGUUUUUGCUUUUAUACAGCAAGUAAAAAAUAUCUGGUCAGAUAAUCUUUAAAUAUGUAAGUGAGUGUUCAAGAAGAUUUGAAAUGUAUGAUCAUUAUGGGGAAUCAACGGCUAUUUUAUCUAGUUUACCAUCAUCAGAAAACUGCCAACUAAGUCUGUGUAUAUUAACAAACAGUGAUAAGUUGAUACUGAUUAUUAUUAAUAAUCACAAAUCAAUUACAUUAUUAAUUUUUAUUUUAUUAUUUUAAUUUAGUUUAGUUUUUUAUUUUAUUUGUGCAGGGAUUUGUAAAGUUAAUAAAUAAAUAAAUAACCUAAUGUUGCUUUUAUAUCUUUUAGUAUAGUGUUUGUUUAGCGAAUUUACAUAUUAUUAUUAUUAUUAUUAUUAAAUCGUGUUAAAUGUAUUGCUUAAUUAAUAAUAAAUAGUCAAAAGAACAUAGCAUAUAAUAAACAUUUCAUCCACUGCCUAUUGAAUGCGCUACACCCAGUCCAGUAGGAGGCGCUAAUGACCCUUCAGUUGCCAACUGCCACUCAGGCCAAAAGCGCAGAAGAACAAAAAUGACCGGGAAAAUCUGACAGGAGUGAGAAGAUGAUAACAGCACAGCGGGGUUUUAGAAGUAAGUUUAAAAUAUUUAAUAUAUUUUGCAUACGUUUCUUGCUGUCUAGUUUGUUUAAAGCCUAAUUAGUCAUUACUGUUCUAGAAAAAUAACGUGUAGGCCUACAGACAUUUUCACAGACAUUGGUAGUGUAACUGUUACAUCUGAAUGUAAAUUAUAUACCGUGUGUCUCAAUUCGUUCCCUAGCUCCCGAGGUCGUGAAUCAGUAUAAUGUGUGCACUGGUAAGGACCCUAGCUCACUUCACAUUGGGACAAUGUUCACUUAUUUCUGUCACGUGGCUGCUUAAGCGCGUUGUAAUCUCUCACAGCUGUUACUCAUCAACAACCAGCAAAACCAACAUCUCUCCGACUUAAUUUUAAAAACAGUACAUUGUGAAAAAUGCUGUCAUUAUUCUCUUACAUAUCUGUGCCUAAAAUUGGUGGCAAUUACAUUUUAAAUGUAAUAAAUAUAUUUACAAUUUUAAAUCAAUAUUAUUAUUUUAAAUAUUGAGUAGAUUGUGGUCCCUUACUGUGUAGCAAUGUGUGUUUAUAUUUACAACUAAACAACUGUUUGUCUUUUAUAAAAGUUCUGUAACAUUUCAUAAAGUUUAUUGAGUUGGAUCGUGAUGUUCGGUUGGCGAGCUUCAGAAAAGGUCAUGUGAUUUCCGGUAAGGGAACAUAGGGACCAUUGAUGCUUACUGGUUUUUGCGUUUCAUUGUUGGAAUUUUUAGGGAACGAACGUUCCAGUGCACUAAACGGAUUUUGAGAUUGAGACAGCCCUUAAAAUGGCUGACUCCCUGAUCAGUGCCCUGACUACUGAACAAGGGAGCUGAUUGAGACACACGGAUAGAUAAAAACAGCUUUCUGGCAACAGGUGGUGUGCUUUAGUUAAUAUAUUUAAAAGGUUCAUAUCUAAUGCAUUUUGACAUUCCUUAUAUUUAUAUUUAUGUAAGAGUUAUACUUUUAUUUUAGUGAGAGGGUUAUGUUUGUGUUUAGCAGACAUUGCAAGGCCAAGCACUUAUCGCUUGACAUGGCUGGAGUCAAUACUACCUCACCAAAAUUACAACUAAUGUUUGGCUUAAACCUUGCCUAAUCGCAGUGUUUUUCCCUUUUAUUCUCUUUUUGUAGGCCCUAGGGGUGGGCGGAAUGACCAAAAAUCUAUUCCACGGAAUGAGUCAUUUUAUUUCACAGAACGGUAUAUUCACGGUCAGAGAAUGGAUGGAUUAUCCAGUCACGGUACAUAAUGAAAGACUUGACUGAGUUAGAAGAAGCUGAGCGACUCUUCAGAGUGAAGAUGUUAUG